AGUCGAACGGUAGCACAAGAGAGCUUGCUCUCGGGUGACGAGUGGCGGACGGGUGAGUAAUGUCUGGGAAACUGCCUGAUGGAGGGGGAUAACUACUGGAAACGGUAGCUAAUACCGCAUAACGUCGCAAGACCAAAGAGGGGGACCUUCGGGCCUCUUGCCAUCAGAUGUGCCCAGAUGGGAUUAGCUAGUAGGUGGGGUAACGGCUCACCUAGGCGACGAUCCCUAGCUGGUCUGAGAGGAUGACCAGCCACACUGGAACUGAGACACGGUCCAGACUCCUACGGGAGGCAGCAGUGGGGAAUAUUGCACAAUGGGCGCAAGCCUGAUGCAGCCAUGCCGCGUGUAUGAAGAAGGCCUUCGGGUUGUAAAGUACUUUCAGCGGGGAGGAAGGCGAUAAGGUUAAUAACCUUGUCGAUUGACGUUACCCGCAAAAGAAGCACCGGCUAACUCCGUGCCAGCAGCCGCGGUAAUACGGAGGGUGCAAGCGUUAAUCGGAAUUACUGGGCGUAAAGCGCACGCAGGCGGUCUGUCAAGUCGGAUGUGAAAUCCCCGGGCUCAACCUGGGAACUGCAUUCGAAACUGGCAGGCUGGAGUCUUGUAGAGGGGGGUAGAAUUCCAGGUGUAGCGGUGAAAUGCGUAGAGAUCUGGAGGAAUACCGGUGGCGAAGGCGGCCCCCUGGACAAAGACUGACGCUCAGGUGCGAAAGCGUGGGGGAGCAAACAGGAUUAGAUACCCCUGGUAGUCCACGCUGUAAACGAUGUCGACUUGGAGGUUGUUCCCUUGAGGAGUGGCUUCCGGAGCUAACGCGUUAAGUCGACCGCCUGGGGGAGUACGGCCGCAAGGUUAAAACUCAAAUGAAUUGACGGGGGCCCCGCACAAGCGGGUGGAGCAUGUUGGUUUAAUUCGAUGCAAACGCGAAAGAAC
rnacentral:rRNA from 1 species